AUGGGUGAUGUGGACAAAGAAAAGGAUAUUGACAGAAAGUCAUAUACAUGGAAAGACCUCCAUUCUGACUUGCACAACUGGGCCAUUUAUGACUCCAAACAACACAUAAUUGUCUUCAAAGAAUUGAAGAUGGAAAACGGAGAGGAUGACUUGGUGUUUGGAGAACUUGAGAAAAACAUCAGCGUGCACGUUAUUGUGAAGGAUAAGAACAAUCGCAAACCCAUGGGACAUCUAAAUAAAUCCCUCAAUUGUUAUGCAAAUUCAGUCCUACAAUGCUUAAAGGCCACUGAAAGUUUUUCGAAGUAUCUUUCUGGAGAUGAUUAUGGGAAAACAUGUCCUGAAGAGGGUGAUUUGUGUGUAUCUUGCUGUUUGCGAAGAUACCUUCUAGAGGACUUACAAAGUUCAACAGCUUUUCUUCCUACUAUGAUUCUUAAUCGUUUGGAAGAUUUAGGUGAUGACUUUAAGAAUAACCGUCUUGGUUCUCAGUUCAGCGCUGAUGAAUUUUUGUGCGCAAUAUUGUCAAAAUUUCCUGCAGAGAAGCACCCCAAAAAUAUAGACAUAUAUGAGCAGCUAUUUUCUGGAACAUUACUAACAGAGCAUGUAUGCGAAUGUGGAUUCAAAAAGGCAGGCGAAACUAGAGAUUUCCAGAUGUUGGAAAUUCCUAUCAAGCUUGAGGAUCAAGUUGGCUUCAAAAGCUUAAAAGAAUGCAUGGAUGCGUUCACUAUGAAAAAACCAUUGAAUUCUCGAUGUGAAGGAUGCUCACUCCACAAAAAGAGUGAGGAAACUCGAAUCGUGGCUUGUCCAGAAAUAUUGAUCAUAUGUCUUGGUCGACCUGUUGGUACUGGUGAAGGUUCUACUAAGCUCGUACAUGAUGUUGACUGCCCCAUGGAUUUCGACUUUUCACCUUAUGUGAGUGCUAAUGGAGGAGUCGAACAAAAGUAUGACUUAUAUGGAGUCAUUCAUCAUAGGCAGUAUGGCCCAAAAGGUGGGCACUAUUGGUGCUUCACCAAGUAUAAUGGAGAAUGGUACGAGAUCAAUGACGAACGGGUUACAUCUAUCACUAAGGAGGGUGUAGAAAAGAAAACAAAGAAAGUUAUAUCUUUUUCUAUAAAAGGAAAAUGGGAGAACAUUCUGAACCACAUGGCGAGCGUGCAACUGAAGACGACAUCCCAAGACGGACGGACGCUGAUCCCUUACUUUUCAGGCCCCCACCUGAUGAAGCAGAUACCCCCAGCCUAUCUGAUAAGUUGA
rnacentral:rRNA from 1 species